GGUGAUACCAGUCACCAGCCUUUUCUGUCCGCUUAGGAGACUGGAUCUUUGUGAAAAUUUGGGGAUCCUGACUCCCAUCUCAAUAGGCUAUGGGCUCCCCGAGGGUGGGCACCCUGCCUUGGAAAUGUCCCUAGAGGACCUUGGAAGGAGUAAGCAGCUGGCUGUACACAGAGAGGCCUUCCUGCUAACAGCAGCCGCUGAAGUUGAUGGGGUGCCUGCCCCGAACCGGGAGCCUUGCUAAUUACAGCUCCGUAAUUGUGCUGGUUAGCUUUUCAUCAUGGUGACAAAACAUGACGUAAAUCAUCUAUGAGACCGGGGUCAGCUGGACCUGUUGUGGUGAAGCAGUACAUCACAGCAGGAUCACAAAGAAAAAGAGACAGGAAGGGGCCAGGGUCCCACCAUCUCCUUCAAGGGUGUGCCCCGCCCCCGCCAAUGACCUAACUUUCUCCCGAUAGGCCACACCUCCAAAAGGUUUAGAAAAAAGAUGACAGGUGCUAUUAAUAUUUAUUUAUUAUAUUACUAUCACUUUUUUACAUAAGAUAAAACUGGGGUUCAGAGAGGUGGAAGAGUGGACCCCCAAGUUACAAGACUUUUCAAUAAUAAGAGGACGUAUCCUGAUCCAUUCUUUUGCGCUGACCUCUGUGUCCUUUAGGUUUGGAUUGGAGUUGUUCCAACCUUCUGCCACCUGCUGGGUGACCUUGGGAAAGUCACCUAACUUUUCUGAGUCUUAGUCCUGUCAUCUGUGAAAUGGGAAUAGAUUUCUCAUAGUGUUGUUGUGAGAUUAAUAUAUAUAUAUAUAUAUAUAUAUAUAUAUAUGUGUGUGUGUGUGUGUGUGUGUGUGUGUGACUAUGGAAAUAUAUAUAUGUAUAUGGAAGGAGCCUGACAGAACGUUGACCAAAAUCGGCCAUCCCCAAAUCCUAGAUCCUUCCUAACUCUUAAACAGAAAUACUGAGAGAAUGCAAAUCUCCUCCCUCUCUCGGUCUUCAGAGGGUUAACGUAGAACCUUAGGCUGUCAGCACUUCUCUGAUCUUGGCACUAAUUAUGUACAGAAAUCAUUUUGCCUCUGCCACUUAUAAUGAGAGAGACUGUACAGAAAUGGAAUUCAUCAUGCAAUGUACCACGAGAGGCUUAAAAAAAAAAAGACUACCUCCAUUUCCCCGACUUUUCUUUAUUUC
rnacentral:lncRNA from 1 species